UGGACAGCUCUCUCCUGGCAACGCCUCCCCAGCUGGGAUUGGAUAACUGGCAGAGGUAGGCGGCUACCUCCAGGUGUCCAGCUGGGGGGGGGGGGACGAAUCCAGGCCUGUACUGCCGGGAGCCACAUGGGAUCGGGGGGGCUGCACGCAACCAUGCAAAAGGCACCCCCCAUUUGAUGUGGGGAGCGGUCAUUAUCUCUGUUCCAACAGGACAGAAGUACAGCAAGAUCCCCACAGAGCUUGCUUGCCAGUAACUGUAGGAGAUGACCAGAGAAGUCUUUUUCAGAUCACCUUUAGAUCCCUGGAGAUGCUGUAAUCUAUUUCCGGCUGCAAGGUCUCAUCUGCUCUCCAUCAUGACACAAGAGACAGCAACAGGACGCACUAAGUGUCUCUUGGGUUUCAUUUUUUAAAUUCCUAUAUAAUUAAUAAAGCAGGUUUGGGAGCGAAAA